rnacentral:rRNA from 1 species
AUUGAACGCUGGCGGCAGGCUUAACACAUGCAAGUCGAGCGGUAACAGGAGAAGCUUGCUUCUCGCUGACGAGCGGCGGACGGGUGAGUAAUACUUAGGAAUCUACCUAGUAGUGGGGGAUAGCUCGGGGAAACUCGAAUUAAUACCGCAUACGACCUACGGGAGAAAGGGGGCAACUUGUUGCUCUCGCUAUUAGAUGAGCCUAAGUCGGAUUAGCUAGAUGGUGGGGUAAAGGCCUACCAUGGCGACGAUCUGUAGCUGGUCUGAGAGGAUGAUCAGCAACCCCGGGACUGAGACACGGCCGGGACUCCUACGGGAGGCAGCAGUGGGGAAUAUUGGACAAUGGGGGCAACACUGAUCCAGCCAUGCCGAGUGUGUGAAGAAGGCCUUUUGGUUGUAAAGCACUUUAAGCAGUGAAGAAGACUCUAGGGUUAAUACCCUUAGACGAUGACAUUAGCUGCAGAAUAAGCACCGGCUAACUCUGUGCCAGCCGCCGCCGUAA